UAAGCUUUCGUGAGCUACAGCUCACUUCAUCGGAUGCAUUUGCUGUAGCUCACGAAAGCUUAUGCUCUAAUAAAUUUGUUAGUCUCUAAGGUGCCACAAGUACUCCUUUUCUUUUUGCGAAUGCAGACUAACACGGCUGCUACUCUGAAAC